rnacentral:rRNA from 1 species
CGGCACGUAAAGGUGGGAACUCUAUGGAGACUGCCGGUGACAAACCGGAGGAAGUGGGGAUGACGUCAAAUCAGCACGGCCCUUAUGUCCAGGGCUACACACGUGUUACAAUGGCCGGUACAGAGGGCAGCUACCUGUUGACAGGAUGCGAAUCUCGAAAGCCGGUCUCAGUUCGGAUCGGAGUCUGCAACCCGACUCCGUGAAGCUGGAUUCGCUAGUAAUCGCGCAUCAGCCAUGGCGCGGUGAAUACGUUCCCGGGCCUU